UACAGAGGUCCCGAGCGUUGUUCGGAUUCAUUGGGCGUAAAGGGUGCGUAGGCGGCGGGGCAAGUCUGAUGUGAAAUCCCGGGGCUCAACCCUGGAACUGCAUCGGAUACUGCCUUGCUAGAGUACUGGAGAGGAAACUGGAAUUUACGGUGUAGCAGUGAAAUGCGUAGAUAUCGUAAGGAAGACCAGUGGCGAAGGCGAGUUUCUGGACAGUUACUGACGCUGAGGCACGAAGGCCAGGGGAGCAAACGGG
rnacentral:rRNA from 1 species